rnacentral:rRNA from 1 species
UACGUAGGGUGCAAGCGUUGUCCGGAAUUAUUGGGCGUAAAGAGCUCGUAGGCGGUUUGGCGAGUCGAAUGUGAAAACCCGGGGCUCAACCCCGGGCCUGCAUUCGAUACGGGCAGACUAGAGUUCGGUAGGGGAGUCUGGAAUUCCUGGUGUAGCGGUGAAAUGCGCAGAUAUCAGGAGGAACACCGGUGGCGAAGGCGGGACUCUGGGCCGAUACUGACGCUGAGGCACGAAAGCGUGGGGAGCAAACAGG